rnacentral:lncRNA from 1 species
CCGUGUGACUGUUCUUCUUCUCCACAAAAUACACCAGAAUCCAGCUCUAAUUCAGUCCAAGUUCAGGCGAGUGAAUCUCAAACCUAUAACCACGCGUCCCUCAUUCUCUCAUCUUACCAUUUCUAACGGUCUCUGACGGAAGAUUCUUCCUACUUGCUCGAUUUGAGCCUUAUGGAAAAGGAUUUUCUAGAUGAGUGUGAGGCGUUGGAUUGAUUUCACUUAAUCCAAGCCCCACAUUCAACAGGAAUUCAUUUUCAAAAGAAGUUCUAUCAAAUUUUGAAGGGGGAUCGGCUAAAAAAUUUCAGAGAAAAAGGGUCAAAAGGUUUUCUAUGAACAAAAUUACUCUUUCGAGUUGAUUUUCUUUGACGAGGUCAUUAAAUUUUAAGAAAGACAUAGAUACAUCUUUUUUUCUUCUUAUUUUGAAUCCAAUGAGCCAGGGGUCGAUUGGAAACAGCCUCUCUGCCCUUUCGGGGAGGGGUAAGGCUUGUCUACAUAUUACCCUCCCCAGACCCCACCUGGUGGGAGUAUAGUGGGUAGUUGUUGUUGUUGUUGUUGUUGUUGUUGUUAUUUUGAAUCCAGAUUUGAGUUCCUGGAAGAUACAAAUUGAAGUUCGAGCUAUGUUUCUACUAUUGUUCUGCUGAUCUCUACUGAACCUGGAUAGAAUUCAAGAUCAAAAUGUGUAUUUUCGAGAAUAUAUUUAUUAAAAAUUUUGAAAUUUCAUGUUCGAUUUCUUUAUUUUUCGUAUGUGAGAUUUUGUCCAGAAUGAUGUUUGGUUCUGUGCGUGAUUCUUUUAGUUGUUGAACUGCUUCUCAGUUGUGUGCAUUUGAAUAUUUUCAGUUAGUAGAAGUUGAUUUCGAGUGGUCAUUUUCUUUGGUUUAACCUAUAUUGUGAUGUUGAGUUUCAUUUGAGUCAAGGUUCCGUCUCCUUCAAAUGAACGAUGUGUUCAACUUCCGUGAUUGCUAGACAAGCCUGAAACUAUGUCAUUUAUUC